rnacentral:lncRNA from 1 species
ACAGAAAUGCACUUGCUCGUAUCGAGAAAACGCCGCUACUCCGAGGAGUUUCUUUCAUUCAAAAAGCUUAUUAUCUAACCGAAAGACAUGAAAAUGUCUCCGGAAGUUUAGACAAUAACACUUAAUGUCCGAAAUAAAACGUCCCAAGCUCUAGAUCCACUCUAUUUCCUUCUCAUCCCUGAAACAAAGAAACAAAAUCUC